GAUGAACGCUAGCGGCAGGCUUAAUACAUGCAAGUCGUGGGGCAGCAUGAGUAGCAAUACUUGUUGGCGACCGGCAAACGGGUGAGGAACACGUACACAACCUUCCUUCAAGCGGGGAAUAGCCCAGAGAAAUUUGGAUUAAUACCCCAUAAUAUAUUUGAUAAGGCAUCUUAUUAAUAUUAAAGCUUCGGCACUUGAUGAUGGGUGUGCGGCUGAUUAGAUAGUUGGCGGGGUAACGGCCCACCAAGUCUACGAUCAGUAGCUGAUGCGAGAGCAUGAUCAGCCACACGGGCACUGAGACACGGGCCCGACUCCUACGGGAGGCAGCAGUAAGGAAUAUUGGACAAUGGACGAAAGUCUGAUCCAGCCAUGCCGCGUGAAGGAUUAAGGUCCUCUGGAUUGUAAACUUCUUUAUAUGGGACGAAAAAGGGCAUUCUUGUUCACUUGACGGUACCAUAUGAAUAAGCACCGGCUAACUCCGUGCCAGCA
rnacentral:rRNA from 1 species